UGCUAUUCCUGGCUUUGCCGAGGGCUUAUCGGGUGAGGCCGGGCCUCCUCCUCCCUGUUUCCCUGCCUGCUGAUGUGGGUUCCUGCUCGCCCCGAGACGCAGUGGGUUCUCGCUAGCCCCGGGGGUGGGAGAGUCAAAGGAUAAAGCUCCUUUUAAGAGGAGAGAACAGGAAGAGGGCGGGCGGGAGAAAGUAGGGACAAGCACUGUAAACCCUGCCUUUAUAUAUAUAUAUAUAUUUAUACAGUAAACAGCUAUUUUAGAGGCAAGGGGGCACGUUGGCAGGGGGCUGCCCUGAGCCGCAGGAGAGGCUGGCGGGGUCGCCGCGAAGCCUCCCCGCCGAAGAUCCCCGCCACGAGCCGAGCUGAUGGAUGCUGCUGAGCUGCCGGCUUUAUUAAUGCCCUUUUAUGAGAGCAUUAGCAGUUCCUAAUGACACCAUUUGAGCUUUUUCUUUCUCUCUUUCCCCCCGCCGAGGACAGAGAUAUUUCCACUCUCCUGCCCGCGCUGUGCGGUGCUGAGCUGCUCUGGGAAGCCUGCCCCGCACGGACAGCCUCAAAAAUCGGUGCCACAGAAUUUCUGUGCCAGCAGCUCCCCUCCGGCCCCUUUUCCUUGCUCAAUAGGGUGGUGAAAAUGCUUCCCCCCGUUCCCAGCUCCCUUGGAGGCGAAGCGCCGAGCCUCCCCGGGCCGGCCCUCGGUGCUGCCUGCUGCACGCCGAAGCGCAGGGCGGAGGGGAUAAAUAAAUACAAAUUAAGGAGGCAGAGCACGAAAGCAGCAGAGACGAAGCUCUGCCCUGAACAACCCGCUCGGCUCGGCGUGCCUCCCUCCUGGAAGGCAAGGGACAAAAAUCCCAGCACCGGGACAGGAUUCCCAGCACCAGGACAGGAUUCCCAGCACCAGGCCGCCCCGUUCCAAGCGAGGGAGGCUCUGCUGGGUGGAUUUCCAGCCGGCGACGACACCUGCCUGGCUUAGGCGUUGCUGGCACACGCGAUUUGCCUAUCUGCCUCUUUCGUUAGCUAUCUAGGUUAGGGGUCCACGCCAGCGGGGAGGAGGCAAUGAUGACACUCGGGUGGUUUUGAAACUUCAGCCAAAACAUUUCUGUCGAAAAAGGAAGGGGGGUGAGAGCACCGGGCUGUUACAGAGGCGGGGUGGGUGGACGCGGGUACGGGGCCGAUGGGCUGGGGGACUGGAGGCUGCUGCUGUGCCACGGCACCACGAGAGCCUCCCCGCUGCGCCUUCUCCCCUGGGACCCUGGCGGAUAAGUGUCAGGGUUCGCUUAAGCAAGAAAAUUGCCCCAGCUGAAUAAAAGGAUGAUUUAAAUCAGCUUAA